rnacentral:lncRNA from 1 species
GCUUAAUGCAGCUAUUUCAGCACUGACGAGAUGGUUUUGAGGAAUAUUUGUCAGCAGCUUCCAAGGACCACAUACUUCCAGAGAAAGUGAGAUUUCUAUAGCUCACCCCAGGUGGACAGGAGAUAGAACACACCCACCCCAUCUAGGAAGAUGUUGACUGAAAAAGAAGAUCAGAGCCAUCUUGAAAACAUCUUUGAAGAGUAUAUUUGCCACACCUAAACUGAUUUACAUUAAUCAGACGAGAAAAAUGAUACUCAGAGGAGUUAAGCAGUUUGCCCAAGAAGGAGCCAAGUUAGGAUUUGAACCCAGGACUGUCUGAUAGCAACCUUCAUGCUCUUAGCCACACGGCCAUCAUCUCAUAAUAAACAGGUGGCAGAACCAAGAACCAAGAGAAGGUCGCCCUCCUCUUCUGGAUUCUCUGGAGCUCACUAUAAGGUGCUCCAUGGCGUGGGCCGGACAUCACCCCUGUGGCUGCUGGGGGAGUCGGGACAGUUAAGACCUGUAGUAGCCGCCCGUAAAGAAGGCUUGGAACUCACCAGUGAGUCUCAUGAAAAUGGCUGUGAUAACAAACCUGAGGCAAAAUCAUAA